rnacentral:lncRNA from 1 species
UGCUGCAAGAUUCGAUGUCACGAAGAAUCUGAAAAUUUUUAUAAAAUUUCUGGAGAACUAAACAAGGCCGAACUUGUGAUAGAAGAACCAGGACGCGCAGCUCGAAACCGGCAUUUGUGUUUCCAGCCCAUCAAAGAAGGCCCAAUACGUGAAAGCCCAGUAAAUUCUGAGUUACUACUCACUUCCGUGUAGGCCUUUUUAUCUCGGAAAAAGUCUACUUUAGGUCCCUCAACGGCGCAAUGGCAAAGGCCAUUGGUUGGGGGGCUCCCACCCAGGGUUCAAAUCCUGGGUGCGGCACUUUAUUCUGGAUUUAUUCCAGAAUUUUCCGGCGCUAUGCAUUAAGUGGUAGGCGACGUGCCCGUCGACAGCGAGGCGCCUGUGGUGACUUCGUAAACUUCAAGAUUUGCUGGCUCAGUGCUUCGAAGGUGCUCAUAGGGGUAGGGUUUGCGUACGUGUGUUCAUAGGGAUGAGUGUGCGUGCGUGUUGAGUGUCUGCGUUGUACUGUGUAAUCUAAAAAAAAAAAAACUUUCGCGAAAGUCUGAUUUUCAUCCUUGAACUCUAAAAUCGGAUAAAAUACAUCCCUCAACUUUUAAACCGUACACAUUACAUCCUUGACCUGGUUUUGAAAGCGGUUUUACCUUUUUCUUUUUAUUUAUUUUGUCUAAAUUUUUUUGAAAAAUCACAGUAAAUCACAUAAAAAUCAUAAAAUAGAAAACUCAAUUUUGUUAGACUUU